GGAGGUGGCUUAGUGGUAGAGCGCUUGCCUAGCAUGUGUGAGGCACUGGGUUCAAUUUUCAGCACCA
rnacentral:tRNA from 1 species